UCAAGAAACUUCCACAAUGGGCGAAAGCCUGAUGGAGCGACGUCGCGUGAUGGACGAAGUGCUUCGGCACGUAAACAUCUUUUAUGUGGGAUGAAAUUAUUGACAGUACCACAUGAAUAAGGGGCUCCUAACUCUGUGCCAGCAGGAGCGGUAAUACAGAGGCCCCAAGCGUUAUCCGGAAUCACUGGGCGUAAAGGGUGUCGAGGCGGUUGUAUUAGUCGUUCGUAAAAUCUACGAGCUUAACUUGUAGGCGGCGAACGAAACGGUACGACUUGAGGUUUGGAGAGGUGCGUGGAACUCACGGUGUAGGGUGAAAUCCGUUGAUAUCGUGGGGAACACCAAAGGCGAAGGCAGCGCACUGGCCAAAAUCUGACGCUCACACACGAAAGCUAGGGUAGCGAAGAGGAUUAGAUACCCACGUAGUCCCUGAGCGGGCUGGCAAGGCGCAU
rnacentral:rRNA from 1 species